GACGAACGCUGGCGGCGUGCUUAACACAUGCAAGUCGAACGGAAAGGCCCUGCUUUUGUGGGGUGCUCGAGUGGCGAACGGGUGAGUAACACGUGAGUAACCUGCCCUUGACUUUGGGAUAACUUCAGGAAACUGGGGCUAAUACCGGAUAGGAGCUCCUGCUGCAUGGUGGGGGUUGGAAAGUUUCGGCGGUUGGGGAUGGACUCGCGGCUUAUCAGCUUGUUGGUGGGGUAGUGGCUUACCAAGGCUUUGACGGGUAGCCGGCCUGAGAGGGUGACCGGCCACAUUGGGACUGAGAUACGGCCCAGACUCCUACGGGAGGCAGCAGUGGGGAAUAUUGCACAAUGGGCGGAAGCCUGAUGCAGCAACGCCGCGUGCGGGAUGACGGCCUUCGGGUUGUAAACCGCUUUCGCCUGUGACGAAGCGUGAGUGACGGUAAUGGGUAAAGAAGCACCGGCUAACUACGUGCCAGCAGCCGCGGUGAUACGUAGGGUGCGAGCGUUGUCCGGAUUUAUUGGGCGUAAAGGGCUCGUAGGUGGUUGAUCGCGUCGGAAGUGUAAUCUUGGGGCUUAACCCUGAGCGUGCUUUCGAUACGGGUUGACUUGAGGAAGGUAGGGGAGAAUGGAAUUCCUGGUGGAGCGGUGGAAUGCGCAGAUAUCAGGAGGAACACCAGUGGCGAAGGCGGUUCUCUGGGCCUUUCCUGACGCUGAGGAGCGAAAGCGUGGGGAGCGAACAGGCUUAGAUACCCUGGUAGUCCACGCUGUAAACGGUGGGUACUAGGUGUGGGGUCCAUUCCACGGGUUCCGUGCCGUAGCUAACGCUUUAAGUACCCCGCCUGGGGAGUACGGCCGCAAGGCUAAAACUCAAAGGAAUUGACGGGGCCCCGCACAAGCGGCGGAGCAUGCGGAUUAAUUCGAUGCAACGCGUAGAACCUUACCUGGGUUUGACAUGGAUCGGGAGUGCUCAGAGAUGGGUGUGCCUCUUUUGGGGUCGGUUCACAGGUGGUGCAUGCCUGUCGUCAGCUCGUGUCGUGAGAUGUUGGGUUAAGUCCCGCAACGAGCGCAACCCUUGUACACUGUUGCCAGCACGUUAUGGUGGGGACUCAGUGGAGACCGCCGGGGUCAACUCGGAGGAAGGUGGGGAUGACGUCAAGUCCUCAUGCCCCUUAUGUCCAGGGCUUCACGCAUGCUACAAUGGCUGGUACAGAGAGUGGCGAGCCUGUGAGGGUGAGCGAAUCUCGGAAAGCCGGUCUCAGUUCGGAUUGGGGUCUGCAACUCGACCUCAUGAAGUCGGAGUCGCUAGUGAUCGCAGAUCAGCAACGCUGCGGUGAAUACGUUCCCGGG
rnacentral:rRNA from 1 species